rnacentral:rRNA from 1 species
UACGGAGGAUCCAAGCGUUAUCCGGAAUCAUUGGGUUUAAAGGGUCGUAGGCGGUUUGGUAAGUCAGUGGUGAAAGCCCAUCGCUCAACGGUGGAACGGCCAUUGAUACUGCCAGACUUGAAUUAUUAGGAAGUAACUAGAAUAUGUAGUGUAGCGGUGAAAUGCUUAGAGAUUACAUGGAAUACCAAUUGCGAAGGCAGGUUACUACUAAUGGAUUGACGCUGAUGGACGAAAGCGUGGGUAGCGAACAGG